UGAAUAUUCAGUUUUUUGAAUAGUUUUAGAAAAAUUAAUCUGUCCCCAUUUAUUGACUUACAAAUGAUUUGUUCAUAUAUACACGUCUGUAUUUAUGCUGUUUUCUUUUUUCAUUGGUUUAUUCCUCUGUCUCUGUGCAAAUGCAACACUUUCUUAGUUGCUAACAGACUUCAUUUAAUACCAUAUUUUGUGACCAUUCUCCUAAUGACUGUGCUUUUCCAUAAUGAAGUGAAAAAAGAUUAAAAAUCUCCAUGCCUUUCACGUACACCGAUACUCUCAGCUGGUCUUUGAAUCAAUCAGUGGCUUUAGAGUUUCAGAAUAUCAUUGUUGUCUCUUAUGUCUGUAAUGUCUUUGUUAAUCUUAUAAGAUCCAUGAACACCACUCUUCAGUUUGUGUAUUUCAUACCUUCAACAACAGCAAGUGGUGGGAAAACCUGGAGAUGCAGCCCCGGGUGCCUCCUGCCUUGCUGUAGAAGAUGCUGUGGACAUGGGUCUCCUCCUCCAGACAAUGCACAUCAAAGGCAGGACCAGCAGGGAGCCCUGAGAUCAGAACCUCUCUGUGGGGUCUGCAUGCACAAGGGGAGGAGCUCCCUGUUGGGUGGGGUGGGGA
rnacentral:lncRNA from 1 species